GUGAAUUAUGCUACCAUUCUCAACCUCAGCUUCCAUGUGUAUAAAGUGAAGAAACAAAUUAUACGGAGCUUAGAGAGCAAUUGCAGAUUACAGCAGUAUGUCUGUAAGGCAGCAAACACAUGCAAGAUGCUUAGCACAUAGACAAGGUCACGGGUGUCACUUCCUUGUGUCAUUGACCAAGAUGCUUUUCUAGUGCAAUUGUGCCCCGACAAGUCUAAAUUUGUGAGUCUACUUAUUGGGCCUACGUACCCUACUUUACAUUGGUCCCUAUUGAACUUCAACUUGCUUUGAUUUAUUGAGGUCACUUUGACUUCUAUUCUUGUCUUCUGAGGAAUUAGAAUUUAUGCCUUUCCGAAUUUGUAUUCUGUGAACCUCACUUUCAAAGGAUGAAAGAACAAGAGAAAACAUAGGUUAACUAGGGCCAUAAGGCCAGCUGUCCAAGGCAAAAUUAAGUGUAUAUGUGGCACAAUUAUUCAAAACCCAAUAUGACAAAAUGUUUUGGCUGUAACUAUCUAAGAUUUAAGAAGCAAAUUACAUUUUCCUAUCGAUUUUUCACUUUACACACCUGGGAGAGACCAGGCCGAGAGGGUAGAAGACAAAUGGGUGGUCAGAACUAGCAGUACAGGGCUGGGGAUUUAGCUCAGUGGUUCUGCUGCCUGCCUCACAAGCGCAAGGUCCCAAGUUUGAGCCCCGGUACCAAAGAAAAAAAAAUAGCACAGUUAGGAAGAAGGUGAUUUGUGACUUUUCUCCCCAGGAAGUUCACUGAUUUUUAAAUGAUUCUGCCUCACCGAGGUUUGUUUUGAGACUGUUUUUAAUUGGAGACAUUUUAUCUGCUAAAACUUUAUUUUUUUCCUACUCCAUCUUCUACAUUUUCCUCCAGCAUCUUUGAUUCUCAGCAUUUACAGCAAGCACCGGAUCUGCCCCUCUAGCCUGAAGCUCCUUAAACUAUGGAAAAAUAAGAAGGACUUGCCAGGCACUGGUACUGGAUGCCUUCGCGAUCGAGACACAUCCCAAUCACAGGAGACAAGGAAAGCCCUAGCGGCAGAUUCUAUUUUAAUCCAAGGAUUUGGGGAGGGACCUUCCUGCCAACUAAGGAUUAGCUUUUUUCCCCUUAGAGUCUUGCAACUUUGAAAACCAGCUAUAAAUGCAUAUCAGAAUGUAAAAUGCUUAAAUCAGCAUUGUAGGAAUCAUUUAAAAUGGACUGACAAAGCUGCUCUUGUAAGUUGAGAUAUCAAUUCAACAAUUUUUAAGUUAAGAAACAUCGGUUACAUUGGAUCGCAAAGAAAAAUGUGUGGAAGAGAGACUUCCUUGCUCAAGUGCAAUUUCUAAUUUUCUGGUGACCACAAUAGCGACGUGAAUUGUGCGCGUUAACUGAAGCCUGUGCACAAGAUGCGGUGUGAGGACUGGAGGUGGUCAGCUGCACCUACCACAGCUCUCCAAGCUCUGGAGAGGUUCUUAUCCCCAUUUCCCUCACCUAUAGACUGAUACUUAAUGAGCCCAAGUAACUUGCUAUGGAUCACAGAAGUCAGUUUUUACAAAUCAGCUGUGUACAUGGGAAAAGAAGACGGAGGCAUUCUUAGAGAAUUCUCCAAAUGGUACACAAUGACUGCCUGUGAAAAGGCCACGGCACCCUUGGCCUGUAAGAAGUGGACGAUGGGACACAAGACAAAGGAGGGAACAGCUCUACUCCGUAGUUCUCAGAAUCUACCUAAGGGUCUGCUGUCAGUACUGUGCAUGCAGUUUACACAGACUCUGGAUAAACCAUGGCACAGUGGCCAAGAUGGGCAGGGGACAUGGCUGAAUGACUGCAGAGGAAUGACUGCAGGCACCAGCAGGGGCAAUUGGGAAAGAAAAGCACCAAGCUUUGGGAGAGACUGAAAACAAUGCGACCAAUAAGAGAAUUGGCCAGGUUCAGGGCUCACCAUUUUCUCAUCAACACCAUAAUGUGGGUGUGUGUGCUCUCUCUGAAAAUAAGACCUACCCAGAGAAUAAUCAGCCUUGAAAACUAGAGAUCAAAACUGCCAGCCCCAAUCAGCCCGUCCUUAACUUACCUGCCUUACAGAGCAGCCACCGAGCAAGAGAACAGUGAUGGCGGGUAAGGCAAGGAUAGGCUGAUUGGGUUCUUAAAAUAGAACACGAUUCCCCAAAUCAUCAAAGUCACUAAAGAAUCUUGGUCUUCUAGGCUAACCAGGUGAUAUGCCAACAAAGGCUUCCAUGGCCCCACAGGUUUGGGAAGUGCCAACAUGGGGUAUGUUAAGCAAGAGUUUUACUCUUUGCCUUGUGGCUCUCCAAGAAGAGGUAAAAAGAUGGAGUAAUUCCCAGAGGUGUGUAGCGAGGAGGACCAUUUUUUAAUAACAUUCCUUGGGAGGAGUGUGUUCUACAAAACAGGCUUUGGCACCGGGGACUGAAGAAGGGUCUAAACGUCACAAGCUCUGCCUAACACUGCUUGAUGUUGAUAAGGGACAGUCCAGAGAGGUUUGGGGGAGCCCUAAGUGUAGAAGAAAAGCUGAGUGUGGCAGGGGUCACAGCACAAGGCAAGAGACAGAUCAUUCCGAGGAACUGGUGGGAUAGUCCCCUGGUAAAAGCUCAUUUUUAAAGUAAAAUGGCCCAGAUAAACCUGAGAUUCAUUAAGUGAGACCUGGAAAUAAGGUUGCCCCAAAAAGAUUCAUCCAAAUACAUAUGAAUGGAGAAAGAAAUGAAUGAACUCUUUUAUUCCAAGGUUAUCCCCUCGCCUAUAAAACAGCUCAUAAAAAUCACACCAUUCUCCCAAUUGAGUAUCAUUAUUGUUGAAAUUACAAACAGCAUCAAUAAGAGUAUCAGGGCAGUGAUUCUUUUCCAGGUUGGAUAUAUCAAAUAAAUGAGAUUUUUUUGA